UUUGAACUACUUCAUCUUUUGCAACAGGUAAUGACCGUUCAUUCCCUCGAUUGUCAGCUUCGCUCACUAAAUUCACAGUCUGGCCACAUGCUUCGAACAAUAGAGACUAAAACAAAGUUGUACACUAUUGAAGGCACGAUCAUAAGAACCAAUAUUUUGGAGGAGUUGUUUUGGGACGCGAAGGAGAAAGAUGGAGUUCUUGAAUUCUAGAGAGAGAGAGACAUUG
rnacentral:lncRNA from 1 species